GGUUAAAAGCAGCAUUUUUCUUCUGCAUAGUAAAGUUUCAAAGCUGUAUUAAGUCAAUGUUCAGUUGUAAACUUUUGAAAAAACAACCAUAACCAUUUGUUUAGAGUUACAAACAACCUCCAUUCCCGAGGUGUUCAUAACUCUGAGGUUCUACUUAUUAUAAAAUAGUGACUGUCCAAGGUAAUUCAGUGUAGAAUGUGCAGGGAUGCAGUGGUUUCUCAAAUUGCUGCACUUGCUCAGGAAUGACAGGCCUAUAAUCGGGACUGAUGAGAAGAGGGGACCAAGGGGAAGACCCCUGUGAACGUGACUAGAUUUUUGAAACAGGAAACUAACUAUUGCAGCAAGGAAGUUUUAGCAGCUGGGGGUGAGGCCAGUCACUGAGUGCCAAGGAGGUUUGGCUGCUGAGUCGUGGAUGUGUGUUUGGGGAGGGCGUGGGUGGCUGGGGGAAGGGAAUAAGAGGGUUGACAGUUGGGUGCAGGAACAAAUUCAAGGUGCUUAGUGUGAGAUGGCAGGUGGCCACCUUUGACAGGCAUUUGCAUAAAAUGGAACAAUGCUAGAUGAACAGCCAACAAUGAACACCCGCUACAGUGACAGAGAGGAAGGAGGAGCUUGUGGCUAAGACAGGGACUCAGGGCACUAUGCUACACCUCUCUUUCCAGCUACAGUAUCCACAACAGAGGGACACAAAGAACUGCCAUAGCGUCAAUUGUGUGAAUCACAAAUGUGGGUUUCAUUCCAGUGCAAUGAAGUUAAUGAGCUCUUAUCAGCUACUGGAUCGGUGUUGGCAAUAGAACAAACAUCAACUUGUCACUGAAACUUUUAACCGUAUUAGCCACCUCCCUCUGUGUUGUGUAAUAGCUACCAGGUAGCUAGCUGGAUAGUUUGCAGUGUUAUGGUCGUGUUGGUCCCAGGAUCCCAGAGAGACAAGGUAGGUGAGAGAAUAUC